GCUACUGCUAUCGGGGUUCGAUUAAGCCAUGCGAGUUAAAUGUUCUUCGUGAACAUAGCGAACUGCUCAGUAACACGUGGAUAACCUACCCUUAGGACCGGAAUAACCCCGGGAAACUGGGGAUAAUACCGGAUAAGCCAUAGACGCUGGAAUGCCCUAUGGUUCAAAGCUCCGGCGCCUAAGGAUGGAUCUGCGGUCUAUCAGGUUGUAGUGGGUGUAACGUACCUACUAGCCGACGACGGAUACGGGUUGUGAGAGCAAGAGCCCGGAGAUGGAUUCUGAGACACGAAUCCAGGCCCUACGGGGUGCAGCAGGCGCGAACACUUUACAAUGCGGGAAACCGCGAUAAGGGAACCCCGAGUGCCAGCAUCAAAUGUUGGCUGUCCAGAUGAUUAAAAAUCAUUUGUUAGCAAGGGCCGGGCAAGACCGCUGCCAGCCGCCGCGGUAACACCGGCGGCCCGAGUGGUAGCCGUUUUUAUUGGGUCUAAAGGGUCCGUAGCCGGCUUGAUAAGUCCUUUGGGAAAUCUGGCAGCUUAACUGUCAGGCUUCUAAGGGAUACUGUCAGGCUUGGGACCGGAAGAGGUAAGGGGUACUCCAGGGGUAGGAGUGAAAUCUUGUAAUCCCUGGGGGACCAUCUGUGGCGAAGGCGCCUUACCAGAACGGGUCCGACGGUGAGGGACGAAAGCUAGGGGAGCAAACCGGAUUAGAUACCCGGGUAGUCCUAGCUGUAAACGAUGCUCGCUAGGUGUCAGACACGGUGCGACCGUGUUUGGUGCCGCAGGGAAGCCGUUAAGCGAGCCACCUGGGAAGUACGGUCGCAAGGCUGAAACUUAAAGGAAUUGGCGGGGGAGCACUACAACGGGUGGUGCCUGCGGUUUAAUUGGAUUCAACGCCGGA
rnacentral:rRNA from 1 species